CAAUAGCGUAUAUUAAAGUUGUUGCAGUUAAAAAGCUCGUAGUUGAAUUUCUGGCGGGCGCGCCGGUCUUCCAAGUGUUGUACUGGGCGCAGUCCGCCAUCCUUGUGGAGAGGGCUCGCAUUGAGUUGCGUGUCGGAUCUGCAUCAUUUACUGUGAAAAAAUUAGAGUGUUUAAAGCAGGCUGUCGCUUGAAUACAUUAGCAUGGAAUAAUAAGAUAGGACUUCGGUCUAUUUUGUUGGUUGCGAACCGAGGUAAUGAUUAAUAGGGAUAGUUGGGGGUAUUCAUAUUUAAUUGUCAGAGGUGAAAUUCUUGGAUUUAUGAAAGAUGAACAACUGCGAAAGCAUUUACCAAGGACGUUUUCAUUA
rnacentral:rRNA from 1 species